rnacentral:misc_RNA from 1 species
ACAAACUUGGUCAUUUAGAGGAAGUAAAAGUCGUAACAAGGUUUCCGUAGGUGAACCUGCGGAAGGAUCAUUAUUGAAACAUUGUAAAGGGGAGUUGAGCUGGCCCUUCAAGGGCAAGUGCUCGCUUUCCUUUCAAUCUUCAUCCACCUGUGCACCUUUUGUAGAGAGUUCUGAGAAAUCUGAGCCCUUUAAGUAGGGUUCUAAGUAUCGGAGUUCUCUAUGUCUUUAUAAACUUAUAAAUGUAUGUUUUGAAUGUGUUGUAUAAAGGGACCUUUAUUGGACCUUUUAAAAACUAUACAACUUUCAGCAACGGAUCUCUUGGCUCUCGCAUCGAUGAAGAACGCAGC